AUGUGUGUCAGAGAACGGCCUGAGAACGCUAGGCCUUUUCCCCAACGCCUCCGGCUACCAAGCGCCUCGCCUGAGGUUGCCGACGAUGAUAUGUGGGUCACCCAGAAAGCAGACGUGUACAGCUUUGGCAUUUUACUGCUGGAGCUUCUCACCCGUAAGGCUCCUGUAAAGAAAACACAGUUUAAGGAGGGAGUGGAUUUGCUGCAGUUGAUACAAAACCGGACUAUGGUGUACGAGGUGUUGGAUAUGGAACUUCUAGAUCAUGAGGACAAGGGCGAGAGGAAGACAAGGAUGAUGCGACUCAUGGAGCUCGCCGUAAUCUGCUGCGAUUCAGAUCCCAACUUGAGGCCUACAAUGCCGUAUGUCGCGGAGCAGAUUGAGGAGAUCCGAUGUCUCUGA
rnacentral:rRNA from 1 species